CUUUAUGUUUGAGGGGGGGGACUUAACUGUUGGCAUUGAUAUGGUGAGGAGGAGGGAGGGAGGGAGGGGGGGAAGAAAAAAUUCAGUAUUCCAAGGAGAAUCCCAACCUUCCAAAAACUGAACAGUGUGCUUCUGAAAGAUAUGGACAAGAAGGAGGAGAAAGCCCGGUUUCUGUUGGUAGCAGAGUCCGAGGCCACAGAGGUCAAUGUUGCACCUGUGAGGUUGCAGUGGAGUCAGCUUAAGGCUUGGCAGGCCCAACCUUACAGCAGAUAUAAACAUAUAUGUUAUAUUUAAACCUUUUCAUCUUUUCUUUUUUUUUUCUUUUUCUCAUUGUUGUGGUUGUACAAUAUUCCCUGAUGGCCUGAUGUGGCCGCUGAGUGUUACACAGAAUCCUGAAGAGAUAUCAAAAUGAAAGAGGAAAAUAAAAGAGAAAAAAAAAAAA